CCCUUAGAUGUUCGGGGCCGCACGCGCGCUACACUGAAGGACUCAGCGUGUCUCUCCCCCUAUCCCGAAAGGGAUGGGCAACCCGUUGAACCUCCUUCGUGCUAGGGAUUGGGGUUUGCAAUUAUCCCCCAUGAACGAGGAAUUCCCAGUAAGCGCGAGUCAUCAGCUCGCGUUGAUUACGUCCCUGCCCUUUGUACACACCGCCCGUCGCUACUACCGAUUGGAUGGUUUAGUGAGACCCUCGGAUCGGUCCCGACUCGGGGUGGGCUUCUGCCCCGGUCGUGGUUUCGCCGAGAAGACGGUCUAACUUGACUAUCUAGAGGAAGUAAAAGUCGUAACA
rnacentral:rRNA from 1 species